rnacentral:rRNA from 1 species
UACGGAGGGUGCAAGCGUUGUUCGGAAUUAUUGGGCGUAAAGCGCGCGCAGGCGGGCUACUAAGUCUGAUGUGAAAUCCCACGGCUCAACCGAGGAAUUGCAUUGGAUACUGGUAGUCUUGAGUCUCGGAGAGGAAAGCGGAAUUCCCAGUGUAGAGGUGAAAUUCGUAGAUAUUGGGAGGAACACCAGCGGCGAAGGCGGCUUUCUGGACGAUGACUGACGCUGAGGCGCGAAAGCAUGGGUAGCAAACAGG